rnacentral:rRNA from 1 species
GUCCUUUUGAAUUUAAUUUAAGGUCUAACCUGCCCACUGAAUAGUAUUUAAAUGGCCGCGGUAUUUUGACCGUGCAAAGGUAGCAUAAUCAUUAGUUUUUUAAUUGAAAGCUGGAAUGAAAGGUUGGAUGAGAAAAUAGCUGUCUCUAUUUAAUUUAAUUAGAAUUUUAUUUUUAAGUUAAAAAGCUUAAAUAAUAUUAAAAGACGAGAAGACCCUAUAGAGUUUUAUAAUUUUUAAUUUGUAAUUUUUUAGAAUUUAAUAUGAAUAGAUUAAAAAUUAUUUGAUUGGGGUGAUUGAAAAAUUUAAUAAACUUUUUUUAUAUUGAAACAUUUAUUUAUGAAAAAUUGAUCCAUUUUUUAUGAUUAUAAGAUUAAAUUACCUUAGGGAUAACAGCGUAAUUUUUUUUGAGAGUUCUAAUCGAAAAAAAAGAUUGCGACCUCGAUGUUGGAUUAAAAUUAAUUUUUGGUGUAGAAGCUAAAAAUAUUAGGUCUGUUCGACCUUUAAAAUUUUACA